rnacentral:rRNA from 1 species
GUCUACGGCCAUACCACCCUGAACGCGCCUGAUCUCAUGUCUGAUCUCGGAAGCUAAGCAGGGUCGGGCCUGGUUAUACUUGGAUGGGAGACCGAACAGCAUGUCGAAAUUGAAC